GGUUGGGAAGGACUAGCUGUGUUUGAGCGCAAAUAAGGAUGCCCAGGAUCCUAGCUAUAUGGGGCAGUGUUAGCAUCAGGGUACCGCGUGCGACAGAGUCAAUCUGUAGUUGUCAAUCAUCGUGACCAGGGAUGACUGGGCCUAAAUGGCCAAAGGGGUGGACUAUGAUGAUGUACUGUUAUCCUCACUUUAUGAUAAGGUCACAAGGCGAAUAAAUUACCAUAUUGUGUGCAGGUCCCACAUACCGAGUCGCAUGGUGUACUGCCUACUUGGACUCAGAGAAGGAGCGUAUAUCCAGCAAGAGUCACUGAAUGGAGCUGGAGACCUGAAUCAAAUCAACCUGACAAGCAACAGAGCCUGUGGUCAAUCCUGCUUACAUGUGCCAGGGCACAGACAGCAUUACAGAUGCAAGACCCUUCACCAUUGCUGUUAAAGAUCAAUAUAUACUACUCCUUUGUAAAAAAGAGUUAACAGGAACUGCAGUAUUUCUUCAGGAGGGAAGGAGAGUUCAAUAAAAGAAAGCUUGAGGCUGUUAUACUUUUGGAGCAGCAAGUUCACUCCUGAUGUCUUUGACAUCAUUGGUUCUGCC